rnacentral:rRNA from 1 species
AGCGAACGAUGGCGGCAGGCUUAACACAUGCAAGUCGAGCGGGCAUCCUUGUGGUGUCAGCGGCAGUCGGGUGAGUAACGCGUGGGAACGUGCCCUUCGGUUCGGAAUAACUCAGGGAAACUUGAGCUAAUACCGGAUACGUGCGAGAGAAGAAAGGUUUAUCUGCCGAAGGAUCGGCCCGCGUCUGAUUAGCUAGUUGGUGAGGUUACGGCUCACCAAGGCGACGAUCAGUAGCUGGUCUGCGAGGAUGAUCAGCCACACUGGGACUGAGACACGGCCCCGACUCCUACGGGAGGCAGCAGUGGGGAAUAUUGGACCAUGGGCGCAACCCUGCUCCAGCCAUGCCGCGUGAGUGAUGACGGCCUUAGGGUUGUAAAGCUCUUUUGUCCGGGACGAUAAUGACGGUACCGGAGGAAUAAGCCCCGGCUAACUUCGUG